AACCUUAUGGACCUGCGGGCGUAUACCUGCGGAGGGAUCAUUAUCAAAACAGCGGCCUUCGGGCCUCGCUGCACCCUUGUCUUUUGCGCACCGUAUUGUUUCCUCGGCGGGCUUGCCUGCCGGUUGGACAUCAUAAAACCUUUUUGUAGUUGCAAUCAGCGUCAGAAAAACAAUAAUUAUUACAACUUUCAACAACGGAUCU
rnacentral:misc_RNA from 1 species